GAUGAACGCUGGCGGCGUGCUUAACACAUGCAAGUCGAACGGGAAUUCUUUUAUUUAAACUUCGGUCGAUUUAAUUUAAUUCUAGUUGCGGACGGUUGAGUAACUCGUGGUUAACCUGCCUUAUACAGGGGGAUAACAUUCAGAAAUGGCUGCUAAUACCGCAUAAGCGCACAGAGCUGCAUGGCUCAGUGUGAAAAACUCCGGUGGUAUAAGAUGGACCCGAGUUGGAUUAUCUGGUUGUUGGGGUAACGGCCCACCAAGGCGACGAUCCAUAGCCGGCAGGAGAGGGUGAACGGACACAAUGGGACUGAGACACGGCCGAGAAUACUACGGGAGGGAGGAGAGGGGAAUAGAGCACAAUGGGGGAAAAGCUGAUGAAGCGACGCCGCGUGAAGGAAGAAGUAACUCGGUAAGAAAAGUUCAAGCAGAAGGGAAGAUAGUGACGGUACCUGACUAAGAAGCACCGGCUAACUACGUG
rnacentral:rRNA from 1 species